AAUACCACCCUCAAAGUUGAUACUUUCUUUCAACACUUCUAAUAACUUUUUCAAUGUAGGAAAUGUAUGCUUAACCAGAUGGAAGUUGUAGAUAGUUCGCCUUAUGACUUCUUGGUCAAAACCAUCUACUGUAGAUUUUUUUUGCUAACCUUGGUCGCUUUUUACCCGGUGUUCUGAAAGAAACUUGAUACGCCAAUCUUUUGGAUGCUCGCGGUUCUCUUUCUUUUGAGGUAGAUGGUUGUGGUGUUGCAUCAGCCUUAACAGCCGCCGUUACUUGAUUGCGUAUUUCACAAAGAAUUCGUUGAACACUUCUCUGAGAAACGCCAGUCGCCUCCGAUGUCAAACCGUACAAAUCUUUCAUUGAAAGAUAUUCACCAUCACUGUUUUUAUUAUGAUGCAUGAAACAUUGUACACUAUUUCACGAGAUUGACAAAGUUUUUCCGGAACCAAUUCUUUCCGAAGACAUUUUAUUCUAACCUCCAAAUACAACACAGCGCCGCGCGUCGAUCACACGUGACUGACUGACACUAACAUUUACAAUAACAUCAUGCUGUAUUUAUAAAAAGUAGCAAAAGAAAAACAAUAACUGUCUCCUUCACGCUCAUAAGAUAGACCGCGCGCGAGAGAGACGGGCAGACUUUUCAUGUUGCGUAUGCAGUGCGACGUCACGCCGCGCGCUUAUUCACAGACACUACACAAGCGCAAUGUGUAAAUGUGUUGAUCGCGCCAGCUUUAGUUAACAGACCUGUAAAAUGAGUAACUAUAACAAAUCAGAUACGCAUGCGAACAUAAUAUUUUCGACGAAUUUACUAGGUUUUCUAAGAAAAUUUUGAUGCCCCCUUUAAAUAUUGUUUAUUUAUUAUAUUUAAUUAAAUUAAUUAAUUUAAUUUUUAUCUAUGAGUAGUUAUAUGACUCAUUUAUAAUUAAAAGCACUAGCUUACGACUUAAAACUCCUAAGCCAACACGAUACGGCCGCCAUCACCCUAAUUCAGGGUUCCCUGGUGAACUUGGUGAACAUAAUAAUUACUCAUAAUUAUUUUUGAAAUAACCGUAAUUCGUUUUUUUUUUGUAGAAAGAUCAAAUAACACAAAAUGAAGGGUUUUAUGGAUGUGGACACUUUUCUUAAAAGAGACGAUUUCGAAUUGCUAAUUGAAUUAAGAUGGCCCUGGCAAGUGACGCAUUUUAUCAAAACUGCAAAAUGUAUAAAUUGUGGUUUCCCAACGAUGUUAACUAUGCCUGAACAUUUUGUCGUAACAAAUAACAAUAUGAUUAGAAUGCUUAUUCGCUUUAAUUUUAUUUGGUGCCAACAUUCUUACUACUUACUAAGUUCUAGAGAACUUAUGUCAAUGCCAAUAGAGGUGAUAGAUAGGUGUCAUUUAAUGGGCACUAGCGUGUCGAGCACACGGACUUUAUUAGCUCAUAUUUUGCUUUCAUGAUUUCAGCCAUGCCGUAUAAAAUAGUUCAAACGGUGGAAAAGGGGAAAUCUGUUUUAACCAGCAUUCCGGAUACUUGGGAGGAUAAUGGGAUUUUAAAGUGGCCUAAAAAAACGCUGAAAAAAAAAAAAUGAUAAUAAUGGUCCGGAUAACAGCUGGCUUAAAUCACGUUGUACUGUUACGUUAUACAUAGAAUCAUAUGAAGAAGCAGAAAAAGAAAUAGAGAGAAUGUGCGAUUACUCGGACACCGAACCUUAUGCUGAUACCAAAAAUGAAGACCUAGGUCCAGCUAAACAAAAAAGAAGGCAUCACAAGCUUCAGCCCACAACAUUUCAUAACAAAAACUUCGAUAAUUUGGCUCAAGAGUGUUUAAAGGCUUGAGGGAUGCAGAAUUAGAAAAUUAUUUAAAUCUAAACUAAUCCGACUAAGAAAUAAGUGAUUACGAUGAUGACAUAUUUGAUGCGGAUUUUCAACCCCUGAGACGUGAUCAGCCUUCUUACUCCUCAACAUCUUCGUCAUCUGAAGAUGAAAAUGAACUAGUUCCUCCAGAGACCCAGAUGGUUACUGCUUCGGUUGGAAAUAAAAAUGUCACGCCUGCAGAAUCUCACAUUUCAUGCCGUUCUCGUGGAAAUUCAAGGACUCUAAGCUGCUUACGUGCUCGUGGUCGGGGAAGGUCAUCGCGUGGACGUGGGAGGUCUCAAAGCAUGUCCCAAGAAAAUCAUUCUGUUGUUAUCCAAGAUAUUUCAACUAAUGAGUGGACAGAAGGAGAAUUCAUUCCCAAGUGUAUUCUAUUUACACAACCAGCAUAUUUACCAAUAAAUACAGAGCAUUCGUUCGAGAAAUACGAUUAUCUGCGGCAUUAUAUAAAUGACAGCUUAUUGCAAACUAUUGUGGACAAAUCCAAUGAGAUGUAUUUUGCAAGAAAUGGUCGGUUACUGAAUUCUACUUUAAUAGAGUGGAACAACUAUAUAGCAAUAACAUUAGUUAUGUCAUGCAUCGGAUAUCCACAGCUCAGAAUGUAUUGGGAUACGAGUUUUAGAGAGGCACUCGUUGCUGAUCAUAUGUCAAGAAACAGGUUUUUUACGCUGAGAAAUGCCCUGAAAAUUGUAAAUGAUGACAAUGACAUCCCAGAUGAACUUAAAAAAAAUGACAGGCUAUGAAAAGUACGCCCUUUAAUUGAAAACAUAUUGAAAGGAUGUCGAACUGUUUCAAAAUCACGUGAGCUUUCAAUUGACGAAAUGAUUAUCCCAUUCACAGGAUCAUGUGGCAUGAAACAGUAUUGCCCUGGAAAACCGAACCCAGUCGGGUUGAAAACUUUUGUCCUUGCUAACCCUGAUGGGACAGUAUGCGAUUUUCAUAUUUAUCAAGGAUCUGACACGUACCCUACUUAUGCUAAUACAGUAUUUGGCCUAGGAGAGAAGGCUGUACUUACUUUGACUGAAACACUGAUACCUGGUCAUAUCAUUUAUUGCGAUAGAUAUUUUACCAGUGCAAAACUAAUUCUUGAAAUGCGAAGAAGACACUUGAUGGUUGCUGGAACCGUAAUGAAGAACCGGAUUCCUAAAACCGCGAAACCGAAUUUAAUAGACGACAAAGAUCUCAAAAAGGCAAAAAGAGGCGAAUGGCAAGUUUUAGUGAACGCAGAUAAAGAAUAUGCUAUACAGCGGCGGCGCGUCACAAAUAUUCGUGGGGAACCCGGAGCUAAUUUUGCUUUCCUUUUCUCCAUGAACCGAUCGUGAAAGUACUCAACGGGCUGAAAUUAGACAAGCCGGUGGGAAUCGAGUUCUUUGAACGAUCCGCCACUGAUGCUAUAACAAAAUGGC